UGCAGUCGAACGGUGAAGCCCAGCUUGCUGGGUGGAUCAGUGGCGAACGGGUGAGUAACACGUGAGCAACCUGCCCCUCACUUCGGGAUAAGCCUUGGAAACGAGGUCUAAUACCGGAUACGAGCAUUCACCGCAUGGUGGGUGUUGGAAAGUUUUUCGGUGGGGGAUGGGCUCGCGGCCUAUCAGCUUGUUGGUGGGGUAAUGGCCUACCAAGGCGUCGACGGGUAGCCGGCCUGAGAGGGCGACCGGCCACACUGGGACUGAGACACGGCCCAGACUCCUACGGGAGGCAGCAGUGGGGAAUAUUGCACAAUGGGCGAAAGCCUGAUGCAGCGACGCCACGUGAGGGAUGACGGCCUUCGGGUUGUAAACCUCUUUCAGCAGGGAAGAAGCGAGAGUGACGGUACCUGCAGAAGAAGCGCCGGCUAACUACGUGCCAGCAGCCGCGGUAAUACGUAGGGCGCAAGCGUUGUCCGGAAUUAUUGGGCGUAAAGAGCUCGUAGGCGGUCUGUCGCGUCUGGUGUGAAAUCCCAUGGCUCAACUGUGGGCUUGCAUCGGGUACGGGCAGACUAGAGUGCUGUAGGGGAGACUGGAAUUCCUGGUGUAGCGGUGGAAUGCGCAGAUAUCAGGAGGAACACCGAUGGCGAA
rnacentral:rRNA from 1 species